CAAAGGAACGCGUAGCGAGUGCUCUACUUUUUCACUCGGAGUGGCUCCACCGCGCGCGCGCGCGCUCAAGAUCGCGGAACAACACAGCACCGGAGAAAGUAGAUCCAUCCAGCGAGCAAAGGCCAGCCGAGGGAGAUCGUGUGGCAGCCAUCUCGCGUCGCCACGAAAACACGACAGUCGUUCGUCAUGCCUUGGAUAUAACAACAAAUCCUCCACGGGGGAAUCUGCGACCACUGAAGUUACGUGCAGCACCAGUGCUAGUUAGAAACUUUGCCGCAGGCAUUCAGCUGCAUGCUGCAAGAGGUCAGUUGGGCGCGUUAUCUUGAACUUACUGAAAACGCAUGAGGAAUCCAUGUUUUAUGCUGAAAAAAGUAUAAACCCCAUAUAAGCGAUCUUGCGCGCGGCAGCUACAAGCGACGCGACGGAGAUGGCUGUCGCGUUCGCUCGUCGCCUACAAGUCGUACUCCGUGCGAGCGACGAUUUUGAGCGACGCCUCCCCGGUGUUGCCGGCAUGAGGGCUGCAGUCACGCGUGACGCGUGCUUUAGUAAUUUACGUUGAUGUAUUUUACUAUAAAAAGUAGCAUAAAAUAUUUCCGGAGGUCUUGCAGUACGUUCUUAUCCUUGCACGUAUAAAAAUUGAAUCAUUUGCUCGUUCCGCGCGACAAUCGGUAGUAUUUGAGCGAUGUAUGUACAUCCAGUUCCGGCUUCGCGCUAUUGGCUAGUCGCUCAUAGCGCUUCUGGGCGACGAGCGACGAUUUCUAGAUUUCCAGAACCGAGCCAUCUGUUCAAGCGACGGCCCGUUUUGUCGCUCGUCGCCGUCUCGCACUAAAUCGCUCUCACAGUGUUUAUCCCUAAGACUGAACUGUUUUUGCUCAUGUUGAAAUGGUGUGAUUAUAGGUCUCGUUUUGUCUCCUGUUGCGGUUUUCGUGCACGGUGCGAAACUGAAAGGAUGCUUAUGUCUACGAACUCGGUGAAUUGUCGAGCAGCUAGUUACGCAUCGGCAUCGAAUAUAACGGCUGCUGCGUGGAAUUACAAUUGCAGGGGCGCUUUGCAUACGCUUAUUAUUUUGGACAUGCCUGUGCAUUUGCUAAUAUGAGUUGGCGUGUCAGAGUUACGUCAUAUGAACAGCUAAAUCAGCCUUCCUCUGGGUGUUACAAGCGUAAUGUGUGCAUUUUGCUAUAGCAUGGCAGAUUAUGAUGUGUUUAUCGCUUGAAUAUUUUUAGUAGAGAAAUAAAAUAUCGAAAUAAAAUGUUGCUUUAAUACCGUGUUACCAUUCUGUCGUACACAGAACAAUAGGUUGGUGUAAUAAACUAAUAACUGCGGUUUAACUGCAACUUUUACAUGCCUACAAGAAUCUAAAAUGCUAGAUUUCAAACUGCAGCAGUAGUCGGGUCUGUCAAAAAUGAACUCCACUGCGCACCUCAUGCAUGAAAAUAAGUUCAUGCCUUUUAGUAAGCUUAGAUGCAGGCCGCAGUGAACUUGUUAGUAUUGAAAUGUGGGUAAGCUUGCCAUAACAAGCCUUGUUGCCCUUUUUUAUAGGCACAUCCAUAUAUCCAUUGAGCUGAAGGACAAUAUUUUCAUCCCUACUGAGCAUCAUGUUUGCAGCUAUAAUCCUCAAAUUAUGGCUUCAGCAGUGGCACAACCAGGCAUGGUGCGGGGGGGUGGGGUGGCACACUGGGCACGUGCUUAGGAUGUGUCACAAGUGGUGUUUGCGAUACACCAGACUCAUGACAGACCUAUGACGUCUGAAAAUGACCAAUAUUCUAUUCAUUAGCAGGAGUAUUCUAACAUUCAUGAAAAACAAGGAUGAACUGUGGUUUGUUUUCUUGCUUAAAUCUAAAAAUUGAAGUUAGUUUAGCAGUUGACUGUUUCAGUCAUUUGGAUGUUUUGCAUGCAUUUCACUAGGAAGACUAAGAGCUAAGACUUUUUUAUUGCCAUUGCCUUGACUGUCUUGAUGUUGUUUUGCACCAUGUCCUUGUGUUGACUUUUGCAUACGAUAUUUUUCAGGCACCCGCUUUAUAUAACGCAAGAAGGCAGCUGCAAGGACACGAGGAUGUGAAAGAGCCAGUGCAGCGCGACUUCACGUAGUGUAGAGGAGCCAAUGCCAAAAAAUCAAAAUACAUUGGCAUGUUAUUUGGACAAGAAAACUAGGACAACCCAGGACGUGCAUUUCUCAGCACCCAGUCAACUGCCAAAAGUGACUCAAACACAGGCCACCAGUGGAACUCGGCUGUACCACUGCAGUGCUGCGGAAAUUGCCUUCACCAGCGGCUUUGCAACAGCUGUUUCGCAGCAUGUCGGAGACAAUGCCUACGAAAUUAUUGGCCCUGAUCAUGAGAGCCCUCAAGGGGCAAACAACAUCUCUGUUGCAGAAGUGAGCCCGGUACCACUUGGAAGUUACCAUGACAGAUGACACGGCAGCAAUAGAUACAGAGACUGCCACGUCUACUGCAGCUGCAACAGUGUACGAGGCAAGCAGCAGCGCGUCAGCAGCAGUGUCAGAAGGAACCACACCAGGCCUGGUAGAGCAACAUGUGUGCUAUCACUGACUUUUUUUGUAGUGGAUACAACUCAUUUGCUCAACAUACAAAAGCUUUUCACCACGACUGUGAGCCAGUGUUAUUGUGCAGCAAGUGCAAGACUAAGUUAAGUGUUAUAACACAGUACAAGCAUCACUUUAACAUAUGAAAACAUAUUACAGUUGUUGCCUCCCCAGCCAGCCCACAUAGCCACAACAAUGUUGAACACAUGGUGGGACACACAUCUUCUCCAUUAGAAGAUAGUAGAGACUGUCAGUGUUGUUGUUAGAUUAACUGGUCUUUGUAGGCAACUAGGACAACACAGGUGUCAUAAGAUUGUUGUUGAUGUUGUUGUUGAAGAGGUAAAAAAGAAGUUUGAUGCAGCUGAAGUGCCAACUGAUAUUGAGCAAAUCAAAAGCAACCACCUGAGAAAGCAACACUAUCGAAAUUUGGGUAUCUAUGUGCCGCCAACUCUGGUAAGAAUGGCAUAGGACAGAAGUGUGAUGAAAAUCACACAGACACUGCUGUUGCAUCACUGACCACAGUGAGCAGCGACUUGUAGGGCAAGAGAGUCAACUGAAACUAACAUUAUGAUAUAGUGUCAUGCUCCCAUGUGACCACUUUUCAAGUUAUUUUGCAAGAUACAGCUCAACCUCCAGAAACGAGACUGCAACUUGUCUGUAAAAAAGCUUUCACAAAAAAUUAUUCAUAACACUAUUAACAUAGCAGUAUAUUUUUUUUUGUGUCGGUUCGAGGUUCCCGGCUGUCCAUUAAUGCAAAAAUUGAGGAAAAAAAGAACAUGUGUCGUACUUACACCUUUUUAACAAGUACGAGGGGGACAGAACUUUUCUAGUCAUGCAUCUUCAUCAUACUAUUCAAGUUUUUAAAUGCCUUUUAUAAUUAUUAUUACCAGUUAUAUCUGAGUGCAUUGUAUGCAUGUAGCAGGUGUAAAAUCAGGUCAGUUGGAUCAGAUGCCUUAUCUGCAAGCGAGCCCUAUAUUCAAGAAAUUUGAAAUAAAAUAGUUACGUUAGAGACGCAGUCUUUCAGCACUUUAUUGCCUGUGGUUUAAGCAUUGCUCAAUACUUUUGUGGGUGGCAAUUUCAACCGGCACAGCACUGCGCUUUGCCACAGUCACAUUUGUCUUCAAAGCGGUGUUUACCAUUUGUGUUGAUCUGUUUGUGUAUGCAUAGAGCAAGUUUUUAAUUUAUAUUUUUCUGCAUUCUUGUGCUUGCAUUAAGCUUGUAUAAGGCAGUUACAAAAUGUGCGGCACUAUAACGAACUGUUCUGUUGAGCUUACACUUGCAAAUAAUCGUGUUCAGAUGGCCGCACUUCUAUGCGGGUGCACCGCUAGCUUUGUGUAUGUUCUCAUGUUUGUAUAAAGCUUAUAUAAGCUAGUUAGAAAAUGUAUGUCACUAAGCAUUGUGAUAUUCUUUAAAGAACUGCUUGGUUGGUUUUACACUUGUGAAUUAGUAUUGAGGCGGUGGUAUUCCCAUGUAUGCCCACUGCUAGCUUUCUGUGUCCUCACGUGUUUGUAUUAAGUUUCUACAAGGGAGUUAGAGCAUGUACGUCACUAAGCGCUGUGAUAUUUUUUAAAGAACUGCUUUGUUGGUUUUACACCUGUGAGUAAUAGUACUCGUGUGGCACUAGUCAUGUGUAGGUACACAGGGACCAUUUGUAUACAUUAUGCUCAUGUAAAGCAGUUACAAGGUGUAUGUCACUAAUUACUGUGAUAUUUGUUGAAUUGCUGUGAUGGUUUUACACCUGUGAAUAAUAGUGGUCAGGACACAGUACUUGCGGUGUAUAGUUGAAUUUAUACACUGCCAAGACAUGGGCUGUAUACGUACCAAAAGAAAUGUAUGUCAUUAUAUUGUUGUGAUUAUUACUGUUUGGAUUUCAUUAAACUGUAAUAAAAUUGUUUCUUGUA